rnacentral:ncRNA from 1 species
AUGUUUGUGUUGAUUUAUGGUUCCCGAUCCUGUACCAGGCUCUCGGGAUUAAUAGGGAAUCCGGUGAAAGUCCGGAACUGUUCCCGCAACUGUAACCCAUACCUUCUGUCCCAUUCUUACAGAAGGGGUUGUCCAUCCUCAGCCAUUGUCCGUAUCCCGGAUGAGAAGGCGGAUCAACCGGUGGAAGUCAGGAGACCUGCCAUUUUUCAUUGAAUUCG